rnacentral:rRNA from 1 species
CCUACGGGAGGCAGCAGUGGGGAAUAUUGCACAAUGGGGGAAACCCUGAUGCAGCGACGCCGCGUGAGUGAAGAAGUAAUUCGUUAUGUAAAGCUCUAUCAGCAGGGAAGAAAAUGACGGUACCUGAGUAAGAAGCCCCGGCUAACUACGUGCCAGCAGCCGCGGUAAUACGUAGGGGGCAAGCGUUAUCCGGAUUUACUGGGUGGAAAGGGAGCGUAGACGGCAGUGCAAGUCUGGAGUGAAGGGCGGGGGCUCAACCCCCGGACUGCUCUGGAAACUGUACGGCUGGAGUGCAGGAGAGGUAAGUGGAAUUCCUAGUGUAGCGGUGAAAUGCGUAGAUAUUAGGAGGAACACCAGUGGCGAAGGCGGCUUACUGGACUGUAACUGACGUUGAGGCUCGAAAGCGUGGGGAGCAAACAGGAUUAGAUACCCUUGUAGUC